rnacentral:rRNA from 1 species
CCUACGGGGCGCAGCAGUGAGGAAUAUUGGUCAAUGGGCGAGAGUCUGAACCAGCCAAGUCGCGUGAAGGAUGAAGGAUCUAUGGUUUGUAAACUUCUUUUAUAUGGGAAUAAAGUGAGGAACGUGUUCCUUUUUGUAUGUACCAUAUGAAUAAGCAUCGGCUAACUCCGUGCCAGCAGCCGCGGUAAUACGGAGGAUGCGAGCGUUAUCCGGAUUUAUUGGGUUUAAAGGGUGCGUAGGUGGUUAAUUAAGUCAGCGGUGAAAGUUUGUGGCUCAACCAUAAAAUUGCCGUUGAAACUGGUUGACUUGAGUAUAUUUGAGGUAGGCGGAAUGCGUGGUGUAGCGGUGAAAUGCAUAGAUAUCACGCAGAACUCCGAUUGCGAAGGCAGCUUACUAAACUAUAACUGACACUGAAGCACGAAAGCGUGGGGAUCAAACAGGAUUAGAUACCCUUGUAGUC